rnacentral:sRNA from 1 species
AUAAGCAUCAAAGGAGGACCGCCACUUGCUUAAGCAAGAUAAGGUCUGCCCAAAGAGGGACUUUGGAGACAGAAUACUAUCUCAAAAGAGGAUUGCAAAUGUGCAAAUCAACUCAAGAAAUCAAUUGAUUCAAAGGUGUGUGUACAAAGGAGACCCCUAAGCCUUAUUAUAUAGCCUUUGGAAUGAGCUUGGAUGCAAGAUCUAGGAGAUGUGGG